rnacentral:rRNA from 1 species
CCCUUAGAUGUUCUGGGCCGCACGCGCGCUACACUGACGAUGGCAACGAGUUUUUCCUUCGCCGAAAGGUGUGGGUAAUCUUUUGAAACAUCGUCGUGCUGGGGAUAGAUCAUUGCAAUUUUUGAUCUUGAACGAGGAAUUCCUAGUAAGCGCGAGUCAUCAGCUCGCGUUGAAUACGUCCCUGCCCUUUGUACACACCGCCCGUCGCUCCUACCGAUUGAGUGGUCCGGUGAGGCUUUGGGAUCUGAGCGGAAAGAGCGUUUCGCUGUUUCUGCUCGGAAAACUCAGUCGAACCUUAUCAUUUAGAGGAAGGAGAAGUCGUAACA